GACGUAGGUGGCGAACGUUAUCCGGAAUUAUUGGGCGUAAAGGGUGCGUAGGUGGCCUGACAAGUUAUCAGUGGUAAAUCGAGGCUCAACCUCGUGGAAACUGGUAAUACUGUCCGGCUCGAGUACAGGAGAGGUUAACGGAACUCUAUGUGGAGCGGUAAAAUGCACAGAUAUAUAGAAGAACAUCAAUAACGGCGAAGGCAGUUAACUAUGCUGUUACUGACACUGAGGCACGAAAGCGUGGGGAGCAAAACGG
rnacentral:rRNA from 1 species